CGUCUAUCUGGUUGUGACGGUUUCGAGCGAGUGAUCGCAAGAAAUAAUAGGGAAUGCGGUGCGAGCCUUCGGGUUUUAUGCCGCAGCUGCCCCCGCAACUGUAAACGGAUUGUCCAACCCUUUGGCGCUUUCACAAGCGUCAUGCCACUGCGAAGCAAUAUCGCGGGAAGGUGGGUGAAGACGCAAAUCCGUGAGCCAGGAGACCUGCCGUCAUAAGUUCAUUCCA
rnacentral:ncRNA from 2 species